rnacentral:misc_RNA from 1 species
GAUGAAGAACGUAGCGAAAUGCGAUAAGUAAUGCGAAUUGCGGAAUUCAGUGAAUCAUCGAAUCUUUGAACGCACAUUGCGCCCGCCAGCACUCUGGCGGGCAUGCCUGUUCGAGCGUCAUUUCAACCAUCAAGCCCCAGGCUUGCGUUGGAGCCCUGCGGCUGCCGCAGCCUCCUAAAAGCAGUGGCGGGCUCGCUAUCACACCGAGUGCAGUAGAUUACUCUUCGCUCAGGGCGUGCAGCGGGUUCCGGCCGUGAAACCCCCUACUUUUAAAGGUUGACCUCGGAUCAGGUAGGAAUACCCGCUGAACUUAAGCAUAUCAAUAAGCGGAGGA